GUCUACGGCUAUACCACCCUGAACGUGCCCGAUCUCGUCUAAUCUCCGAAGCUAAGCAGGGUCGGGCCUGGUUAGUACUUGGAUGGGAGCCUUAUCUA
rnacentral:rRNA from 1 species